ACCCCAAAUCCCGAAUCAAGUCUCUUCCCAGAAGAAACCCAAAACCCCUCCUCUCCCUCUCUCUCUCUCUCGCGCUCUCUCUGUGUUCGUCUAACCUAAAACCUCGGACGUCCUCCUCUCGCGUUCUUUUUUCUUAAUCAAACAACCGGACAGCGAAUCGCAGCGAUUCCACCCUCUUCUCCCUCUCGUUCCAUCUUUCUCCUUCUGAUCGCCAUUCGAAUCGCCCUGGAGCUUAUGAUCCCCAUCCAGUCCUGAUGCCGGCCGUCGCGAGAGGAGUUCCCCGAAGGGCAUUUAUUGGAAGAUAUACUGCAUUGCUUAAGUCAAAUGUCAAAGGGAGAUGGAAAUCAUUUGCUGCUUCAGUUCCCUCUGGUUCAUAUAAACCACAAAAAGGCCAGAGAAAAUCAAAAGAAGAAAGGCGCACUAUGAUAGAAGCCUUUGUUGACACGUACAAAGCCUCAAAUGCAGGAAAGUUCCCUACUGCUUCUCAUAUCCGCCAAGAGAUUGGUGGGUCUUAUUAUGUUAUAAGAGAGAUCAUUCAGGAAUUGGAAUACAGCCAUAAACUGUCCCUUUCAAACAAGGUUGAGGUAGUUCAAUUGGAAAAAGCAGAAAAGGUCAUUGACCCAAGUUCCGUUGCAAAAGAACAUUUCUUGUCUAAUGAAAAAAAAAUCUUAACCUCUAGGACGACAGCAAAGACAAAAUCCAAUAAGAAAAGCACUAACCAAAUCAUGGUAGAUGAAUGCCCAUCCCUGAAAGAUGAUGAAGCAAACAUGCAUUUGGUAGCAAAUGAAGAUAAAGCCAUUGAGAAGCCUUCCAUUGAAGAACCUGUAAGCCCUGUAGUGAUGGUGGUUGAUCCUUCUCAGGAGAGAUUGCAAGAUAGUGCUCAGGUUUCUAAGAGGGAUCGAAACUCCAGUGCUUCCACUAGCAGCAUUUCUAGUGAGCAACAAGUUGAGAAAUCUUCAGUGUCUUUAAAGUCGGAAACUGAAAUAAACAUCUCACAGUCUGCUUCAGGACAAAUAGAAGGCAAUAGAACAGAUAUAAGCACUACCAAAUUUUCUCGGGACAUGGACAACUUAAAGGGAGUUGGGCAGAUGGGAAAUCAUGAAGCUCCUAAAACAGAGGAACUUCAUCGUGAACAGCCAAGAAGUUCUGAGCAUGGAGAAAAAUCUCCAAAGACAGCAAGCUUUUGGGAGAAUCUGAAAUCUUUAACAGAUGGUAUUAUUAACUUUUGGAAGAAAAUGUAAAUCUCAUCCAUGGUACCCCUUGAUAAAUGAUCUAUCAGGGUUCAUGAGAUGAAAUGUGCCUUCUCACUGCUAAAUGCUUUUGUUGCUUAAUAGCAUGGUGCUGUUGUGAAGGCUGCAAUGUCAACGUUGAUCCAUGCUACACUGAAGUGGUGUAAGUUCCAUAUCUUGGUGAGACCUGAGGUGCUGCCUUUCUAUCCACAAUAUCUCAAUAUAGAACUAUGACUUAGAAGUGUCUGGCAAGUUGUGAUAAUAGUAAAAUGGUGUUGGAUAAUGUUUUACUACAAUGGCUAAAUUUGUGGUUCGUAUCCCAAGAAAAUGUAAUAUUAUCUGUGGAGAGCUGCAUAUUAUGCAAUACAAACUAAGAAUCAUGUAUUACCAAAUUUCUAAUAUAUUUGUGAAAGGCUAAUUGAAUGAUAAUAAUUACCAUUAGGUAUCAGAAUUGAUUUU